rnacentral:rRNA from 1 species
CCCUUAGAUGUUCUGGGCCGCACGCGUGCUACACUGAGUGGAUCAGCGGGUCAGGUUGCGCGAAAGCGUUUCCUAAUCUUUAAAUCCGCUCGUGAUGGGGAUUGACGGUUGCAAUUUUCUGUCAUGAACGAGGAAUACCUUGUAAGCGCGGGUCAUCAUCCCGCGCUGAAUACGUCCCUGCCCUUUGUACACACCGCCCGUCGCUCCUACCGAUUGAAUGGUCCGGUGAAAAUUAGGGACCGUGGCAAUGCCUACUGGGUCACCGGAAGCGCUGCCGUGGGAACUCAUUUAAACCUUAUCAUUUAGAGGAAGGAGAAGUCGUAACA